rnacentral:rRNA from 1 species
AGUCGAGCGGUAGCACAGAGAGCUUGCUCUCGGGUGACGAGCGGCGGACGGGUGAGUAAUGUCUGGGAAACUGCCUGAUGGAGGGGGAUAACUACUGGAAACGGUAGCUAAUACCGCAUAACGUCGCAAGACCAAAGAGGGGGACCUUCGGGCCUCUUGCCAUCAGAUGUGCCCAGAUGGGAUUAGCUAGUAGGUGGGGUAACGGCUCACCUAGGCGACGAUCCCUAGCUGGUCUGAGAGGAUGACCAGCCACACUGGAACUGAGACACGGUCCAGACUCCUACGGGAGGCAGCAGUGGGGAAUAUUGCACAAUGGGCGCAAGCCUGAUGCAGCCAUGCCGCGUGUAUGAAGAAGGCCUUCGGGUUGUAAAGUACUUUCAGCGAGGAGGAAGGCAUUGUGGUUAAUAACCACAGUGAUUGACGUUACUCGCAGAAGAAGCACCGGCUAACUCCGUGCCAGCAGCCGCGGUAAUACGGAGGGUGCAAGCGUUAAUCGGAAUUACUGGGCGUAAAGCGCACGCAGGCGGUCUGUCAAGCCGGAUGUGAAAUCCCCGGGCUCAACCUGGGAACUGCAUUCGAAACUGGCAGGCUAGAGUCUUGUAGAGGGGGGUAGAAUUCCAGGUGUAGCGGUGAAAUGCGUAGAGAUCUGGAGGAAUACCGGUGGCGAAGGCGGCCCCCUGGACAAAGACUGACGCUCAGGUGCG